AGUUCUGUGGACCAAGUGGUCGAAGGCAGCCGACCUAGAAUCGGUUUAUCGUGGGUUCGAAUCCCACUAGAACUA
rfam:Tritrichomonas foetus strain K scaffold_692, whole genome shotgun sequence.